GGAGAUUUAGCUCAGUGGUAGAGCGCUUGCCUAGCAAGCACAAGGCCCUGGGUUCGGUUCCCAGCUCCG
rfam:Rattus norvegicus chromosome 8, whole genome shotgun sequence.